CAAGUCCCCCACAGCAAAGGUGUAGCGAACCAUGUUGUCCCCGAGUCAUGCGUGGUGCAUCGCGAGGUGCAGCGCGAAGCGUUGACAGGGGUACGUGCAGGCCAGCCAUUGAGCCGCGAAAGAGAUUCGAUCCGGGUGCCGACGUUGUCCGACUCGCGGAAGGCAACACGCACGGGCGCGCCAUCGCAAGCGCCCAUGCGACCCGGCGUGGCCGAAGACCC
rfam:Freshwater sediment metagenome lwFormaldehyde_BCIB34706_b1, whole genome shotgun sequence.